CCCUUAGAUGUUCUGGGCCGCACGCGCGCUACACUGACGAAUGCAACGAGCUUAUAACCUUAGCCGAAAGGUCUGGGUAAUCUCCAAAUUUCGUCGUGAUGGGGAUAGAUUAUUGCAAUUAUUAAUCUUCAACGAGGAAUGCCUAGUAAGCGCAAGUCAUCAGCUUGCGUUGAUUACGUCCCUGCCCUUUGUACACACCGCCCGUCGCUCCUACCGAUUGAAUGGUCCGGUGAAGCGCUCGGACCGCGGCCUCUUGACGGUUCGCUGUCGAUUGGCUGUGGGAAGUUCGUUAAACCUUAUCAUUUAGAGGAAGGAGAAGUCGUAACA
rnacentral:rRNA from 1 species